UACGUAGGGCGCAAGCGUUGUCCGGAAUUAUUGGGCGUAAAGAGCUCGUAGGCGGUUUGUCGCGUCUGCCGUGAAAGUCCGGGGCUCAACUCCGGAUCUGCGGUGGGUACGGGCAGGCUAGAGUGAUGUAGGGGAGACUGGAAUUCCUGGUGUAGCGGUGAAAUGCGCAGAUAUCAGGAGGAACACCGAUGGCGAAGGCAGGUCUCUGGGCAUUAACUGACGCUGAGGAGCGAAAGCAUGGGGAGCGAACAGG
rnacentral:rRNA from 1 species